rnacentral:rRNA from 1 species
CCUACGGGAGGCAGCAGUGAGGAAUAUUGGUCAAUGGCCGAGAGGCUGAACCAGCCAAGUCGCGUGAGGGAUGACGGCCCUACGGGUUGUAAACCUCUUUUGUCGGGGAGCAAGACCCGCCUCGUGCAGGCGGAGCGAGAGUACCCGAAGAAAAAGCAUCGGCUAACUCCGUGCCAGCAGCCGCGGUAAUACGGAGGAUGCGAGCGUUAUCCGGAUUUAUUGGGUUUAAAGGGUGCGCAGGCGGCACGGCAAGCCGGCGGGCAAAUCGCGGGGCUCAACCCCGCCC